UCAAGCUACAAAGAGCACAAGGGGAAUGCCUUGGCACCGAGAGCCGAAGAAGGACGUGACUAACUGCGAUAAGCUACGGGGAGCUGUAAGUGAGCGUUAUAUCCGUAGAUUUCCGAAUGGAGCAAUCCGAUUAGAGGAAAGUCUAAUCAUCAUAUACUGAAUACAUAGGUAUAUGAGGGGAACCGCCUGAACUGAAACAUCUAAGUAGGGCGAGGAAGAGAAAUCAACUGAGAUUCCGUAAGUAGUGGCGAGCGAACGCGGAAGAGGCCAAACCUAAUGUAGUAAUAUGUUAGGGGUUCGGACAGUAAAAUGAAUUGUCGAGAUUUAGCCGAAUGUCAUGGGAAGGGCAAUCAAAGAAGGUGAAAAUCCUGUAGGCGAAAAGUUAAGACAUCAGACUGUAUCCAGAGUACCGCCGGACACGUGAAACCCGGUGGGAAUACGGGGGGACCAUCCUCCAAGCCUAAAUACUACUCGGUGACCGAUAGAGAAGAAGUACUGUGAAGGAAAGGUGAAAAGCACCCCGGAAGGGGAGUGAAAGAGAACCUGAAACCUUGUGUUUACAAGCACCGAAAGUUCAUCAACGAACGAUCGGGUACCUUUUGUAGAAUGGUCCGGCGAGUGAAUGUAACUGGCAAGGUUAAGCACUUAAGGUGUGAAGCCGUAGCGAGAGCGAGUCUGAAAAGGGCGCAUGAAGUCAGUUGUAUUCGACCCGAAACCGGGUGACCUACCCAUGUCCAGGCUGAAGUGCAGGUAAAACUUCAUGGAGGGCCGAACCGACUCCCGUUGAAAUGGUAGCGGAUGAGGUGUGGGUAGCGGAGAAAUUCCAAUCGAACCCGGAGAUAGCUGGUUCUCUCCGAAAUAGCUUUAGGGCUAGCCUUGGAAUAGAUUACUGGAGGUAAAGCACUGAAUUGGCUAGGGGCCGAGAGGUUACUGAACCUUAUCAAACUAAGAAUGCCAGAUAAUCGUUUUCCAGGAGUCAGACAGUGGGAGAUAAGUUUCAUUGUCAAAAGGGAAACAGCCCAGACCUACAGCUAAGGUCCCCAAGUAUAGUUAAGUGGAAAAGGAUGUGGAAUUGCAUAGACAACCAGGAUGUUGGCUUAGAAGCAGCCACUCAUUAAAAGAGUGCGUAAUAGCUCACUGGUCGAGUGAUUCUGCGCCGAAAAUUUAACGGGGCUAAACUAUACACCGAAGCUUAGGAUACCGCAAGGUAUGGUAGGAGAGCGUUCUGUACGGAGUGAAGUCGUAGCGAAAGCGGCGGUGGACUGUACAGAAGUGAGAAUGCCGGAAUAAGUAGCGAGAAUUAAGUGAGAAUCUUAAUGGCCGAAAGUCUAAGGUUUUUGGAGGAAGGUUCGUCCGCUCCAAGUAAGUCGGGAGCUAAGGUCAGGCCGAAAGGCGUAGCCGAUGCACAAACGGUUGAUAUUCCGUUACCGUCUACAAUUUAAACAAAGGGACACAUACAAAGCGUUUAACCCGGGCGAUGGUUGACCCGGGCGCAAGGGACUGAAAUAAGAGUAGGGAAGUAAAUGUGGCGUAUGGCGAGAAAAGCUUUGUGUAUAGAAGUAGACGCCCGUACCGCAAACCGACACAGGUGGACAGGAAGAGAAUUCUAAGGCCAGCGGGAGAAGGGUAGUUAAGGAACUCGGCAAAUUGACUCCGUAACUUCGGAAUAAGGAGUGCUCGAAAGAGCCGCAGAGAAUAGGCCCAGGCGACUGUUUAGCAAAAACACAGGUCUCUGCCAAAUCGAAAGAUGAAGUAUAGGGGCUGACACCUGCCCGGUGCCGGAAGGUUAAGAGGAGGAGUGCAAGCUCCGAAUUGAAGCCCCGGUAAACGGCGGCCGUAACUAUAACGGUCCUAAGGUAGCGAAAUUCCUUGUCGGGU
rnacentral:rRNA from 1 species